GGGAGACAGCCAAAAGCCAAGGAUGUGUCUGAAUGCAGCCAAGAAUGCAGAUGGCGUCUAGAAUCUGGGAAGAAAAGGAAUGAAGCCUUCAGAAAGAUGCAGAAAUGAGCAUCCAAAGGAUAAUAACUAACUAGCUUAUGUUUCCCAGCUGCAACUGGCAAAGGAAACGCAGCAAAUCUGGAAGGAGAACCCCUGCUCUUAGCCAUUUUUUGCCACAUUGACUUCAACAACUUCACAGGACACCGCCAUUUGGACCCUCCAGUCCUGGCCUCCAGCAUUUGCCCAGAUCACAGUCACAUUCUUCUAACUGGAAUGCAGCGUGGUACCCUAUCCACAAUUCAUCUCCACCAUCCAUUCUUCACUCUUCAGAGUAAUGUUGUUAAAAACAUGAUCAAACAAGCCUGACUAGGUCUUGCUCCUCCUUAAAACCUUUUUCAUGUCUUUCUAUUGCCCUCAAGAAAAAAAAAAAUCCAAAUUCCCAGGUAGAGCUAAUCAUUCAUAGCUACAUAUUAAUUGGAAGAAAAAAUCUUUAAUACCCACUCUUCUUCACCAGUCCUCCCUUUCUCAAAUCUUAUUAUUUCUCCAUAAUAAGCAGAGUUGCAAUUUAUAGUUCACAAUCAUGGAUAAUACAACUGUCCUCAAAAAUCUCUUAGGAAAGAGCCAUAGUAAAUACUAACAUACUGUGUGAAUCCACGAGACCCAGCUUCAUUUCCGUCUUUGAAAUGGUUAAACAGAGAGAGGGAAUCAGAGUCCUGUUUCCCAUCACGUGCUCUCCUUCAGGGACACAAAUAAUGUCUCUGUCCUGUGUUGAUGGACAAAACUACCCAGCAUUUUCAAAGAUUUGAUCACUCUUGGCCCAGCAUAAAUACUUUAAAUCACAUAAAGGCGUGCAAGAUUCAUCUCCACUCAUCACUGGCAGGUGCACUCUUCUCUGUCUCUAAUGCUGCUGCCUUUGACAUUGGUCAGACCCUCUCCCCAGCCCAUUUCUAUGCUAGUUCCACAGCCUUUCAUUAACUGACUUCUAUCUCUGCCUCCUGCAACCCAGAAAACUCUUUCUAAAACACACAAAUCUGCUCAAGUUCUUGCCUAAAAUUCUGGGACCACUUCUUAUUGCUUAGGACAUGAUAAAGCACAUGCUCCUUAGCAGAGCAAGCAAGUUCUGUCAAUUCAACUACUCACUACACGCACUUCCUAUGUGCACAUUAACACCAAGAAUCUACAGCAUCCAGAGAAGUAACAUAAGAGGAUGAAGCAAGAAUAGCAGACACUGUGGAGAAAUGGGAAACCAGA